rfam:Hordeum vulgare subsp. vulgare, WGS project CAJW01000000 data, contig: morex_contig_54822
AUAAUACUCACUCUGUUCCAAAUUUCUUGUCUUAGGUUUGUCUAGAAAUGAAUGUGUCUAAAUACUAAAAUGUGACUAGAUACAUUCAUAUCUACACAAAUCUAAGACAAGAAUUUUGGGACGGAGGGAGUAUAAU